rnacentral:rRNA from 1 species
CAGCAGCCGCCACGGUAAUACGUAGGGUGCAAGCGUUAAUCGGAAUUACUGGGCGUAAAGCGUGCGCAGGCGGUUUGUUAAGACAGAUGUGAAAUCCCCGGGCUCAACCUGGGAACUGCAUUUGUGACUGGCAAGCUAGAGUGUGGCAGAGGGGGGUGGAAUUCCGCGUGUAGCAGUGAAACGCGUAGAUAUGCGGAGGAACACCGAUGGCGAAGGCAGCCCCCUGGGCCAACACUGACGCUCAUGCACGAAAGCGUGGGGAGCAAACAGGAUUAGAUACCCCGGUAGUCCCUGUCUCUUAUAC